UACAUGUGGGGCAAGCGUUGUUCGGAAUUACUGGGCAUAAAGGGUGCGUAGGCGGCUUGUUAAGUCAGGGGUGAAAGUUUUCGGCCCAACCGGAAAAUGGCCUUUGAUACUGGCGAGCUUGAGUGCGUGAGGGGUAACCGGAACGAGUCGUGUAGCGGUGAAAUGCGUAGAGAUCCGGAAGAACACCGGUGGCGAAGGCGGUCUGCUGGGCAGUUGCUGACGCUGAUGCGCGACAGCGUGGGGAGCAAACAGG
rnacentral:rRNA from 1 species